CCUACGGGAGGCAGCAGUGAGGAAUAUUGGUCAAUGGCCGGAAGGCUGAACCAGCCAAGCCGCGUGAAGGACGAAUGUGCCAAGCAUUGUAAACUUCUUUUGUCAAGGGACAAAAUCAGGCUCGAGAGCCUGACCGAGGGUACUUUAAGAAAAAGCAUCGGCUAACUCCGUGCCAGCAGCCGCGGUAAUACGGAGGAUGCGAGCGUUAUCCGGAUUUAUUGGGUUUAAAGGGGGGGUAGGUGGGCCGUUAAGUCAGGUGUUAAAGGCCGGGGCUCAACCCUCGCAGAGCGGUUGAUACUGGCAGUCUUGAGUUGUCGAGAGGUAUGCGGAAUGCGCGGUGUAGCGGUGAAAUGCUUAGAUAUUGCGAAGAACCCCGAUUGCGAAGGCAGCAUACCG
rnacentral:rRNA from 1 species